AUAAAUUAUAGCCAUUAUAUGUUUUUAAAAUAAAACCCAGCAAAUUAGAGAUAGGAAUAAUCAAAUGUUCCCUUUCAAAUUCCACUUUUGUGCACAUUUCCAGAAUAAUCAUACGCACAUUUACUGGUCAUUCUUAAAUUAUUCUAUAAAUAAAAAUAUCUUAUUUUGUCUUUCGUUUCAUAUAUGCCUAUUUUGUAAUCUUUCGUCUCAUAUAUGUCUCAAUUUACAAACAAUUAAGUUAGAGAAUCAAAAAUAUAAAUAAAAAUUCUGAAUGUGAUUAUUGUGAAUGUAUGAAGAGAAUUGUAUUAAUUAGAAUAAAUUAUUUCGGGAACAACAGAGUAUUUAAAUACUUUUUAGUUUUUGACGGAACCAAGAGCUUUAUCAGUAUAUUUCUGAGGCGUAUAUCUGGCUGGCACAAAACAUGACAGUUAUUAAAUGACUAAGACAUACAGAUGAUCCUUGACAUUCAUAAACAUAUUUCCUAUAUUACAGCCUGCGACCACAUCAUCGGCAGCCUGCCAUAAGAUAAUGACAUACUUGAAGAACUAGGAAGUACAUCUUUGGAUAAUCCUUUUGAUAUGAAUUGCUCUGCCAAUUCUCUAUACAUAUAAUAGUUUGUUGAGCUAAAACAGGGAUGAAUUUCGGUGAAUUUUUUAUCAAUAGCAUACACCAGCUUACAAGAAAGAGAAUUUUGGUGUAACAGCCAACAAUUUUUUAAUAAUGUAUUAAUAAAAUUUCUUACUGUUUCUCUUUAAAAUUUGAAUAAUCAAUAUGAUAAUAAUGAUAUGAUAAUCUCAUCAAAUUGCUUGUUCUUUAUUAUUAAAUCUUUUGCAAAGGAUUUGCAAUCGGAACAAGUUAGAUUGUAAUAGAUACUUUCUCACACAAAAAAUAAAUUGUUCACUUCAUCCUAUAACUUUUUUAGUAAAAUUAUGUUAUUUGAUACCUUCAAGGUCCAUAUAUUCUGUUCGGCACACUGUAAAUUUCAAGCUGUGAGAUUGAUCUCUCUUUUAUAUCUUUCUUUCCUUACUCGUCUAUUCUUUCUUCUACUUUACGCUCAAAUAAAGUGUUUCUUCCUCUUUUGCUUUUAAUAUAACUAAAAAUAAAACAUAACACAAAGUAUUCAUCUUAUCUCAGAAUACUUACUCCAAA